AUAUAUAUAUAUAUAUAUAUACAAAAUAAAACAAAUAUAAAAAUUCAUAUAUGAUAUCGAAUAUACACAUUUUUAUUAAUUUUCAACAGUGGACGGACUCAUCCUCAAGCAGCGAGGAAAUAUUGGUCCGUGAGAAGACCAACAGCAUCGAAAUAUGGACGGACUCGUCCUCAAGUAGCGAGGAAAUAGAGGUCUGUGAGGCGUGAGAAGACCAACAGCAUCGAAAUAUGGACAGAGUCUUCAUCUUCGUCCUGUGAGUCAUCAACACCAAUAGGUAUUAUCGACAUUGACUGGUCCCAUGACGAGGUAUUCGAGUCGCCCGCCCUCGUACAUGAUGAGGUC